CUACGGGGCGCACCAGUGAGGAAUAUUGCACAAUGGGGGGAACCCUGAUGCAGCAACGCCGCGUGGAGGAUGACGCAUUUCGGUGUGUAAACUCCUUUUAUAUGUCAAGAAAAUGACGGUAGCAUAUGAAUAAGCACCGGCUAACUCCGUGCCAGCAGCCGCGGUAAUACGGAGGGUGCAAGCGUUACUCGGAAUCACUGGGCGUAAAGGACGCGUAGGCGGGUUGGAAAGUCAGGUGUGAAAUCCUACAGCUUAACUGUAGAACUGCACUUGAAACUUCUAAUCUAGAGUAUGGGAGGGGGAGAUGGAAUUAGUGGUGUAGGGGUAAAAUCCGUAGAUAUCACUAGGAAUACCUAAAGCGAAGGGGAUCUCCUGGAACAUUACUGACGCUAAGGCGUGAAAGCGUGGGGAGCAAACAGGAUUAGAUCCCCCGUAGUC
rnacentral:rRNA from 1 species